AGCGGAGGUAGGUCCAGUGGAGGUGGAUAUCUAAAUGUCUGUGUUUGUAGCCAGCACUUUCAGCCGGAGGAUUUCGAUAUGGACCUGAAGUCUCAGCUGAUGAGGUUGCCAGUGCAUCGAACGUUUUAAAGUGAUGCUAUUCUAUUGAAUUUCCCCUUCACGUCAAAGAGGAAAGGUAUCCGAUCAGCCAACAUCAGCACAGCAGAAAAUAAGUCGAACUGAGAUAACGUAGCUAACUACGUUUGUUUAUCUAAACCAAAAUCUAACUACCUAGCUCUUAUAAUAUAGCUAACUACGUUUGUUUAUCUAAACCAAAAUCUAACUAGCUAGCUCUUAUAAUACGCUGGCUAGACAUUCCAACGCAAAUCAAUGUAAUUAGCUAGCAGCUAUCUGGCAAAGUGAUUUGUAACUUUGCAAGCUAACAUUGGCUACAUUAGAUUACGUAGCUACAGCCCAGGAUCGUAGAUAGCUAGCUAACUAAUUGACUAACUAACAGCACCGUAGAGGCUAACGUGACUAUGUGUUCGAUCCCAUCAAUAUCUGCAGCGGCAUCAACAUCAAGCUCAGCACCAGGAACUAGUGAGACGUGCAGUACAAACACAUCUUCUGUAAGAGGUCGACGCAGUGGGUGG